rnacentral:misc_RNA from 1 species
UACGUAGGUGGCGAACGUUAUCCGGAGUUACUGGGCGUAAAGGGUCCGCAGGCGGAACGCUAAGUCUGGCGUGAAAGCUCCCGGCUUAACUGGGAGAGGACGUCGGAAACUGGCGCUCUUGAAUCUCACAGAGGUCGGUGGAAUUCCCGGUGUAGUGGUGGAAUGCGUAGAGAUCGGGAGGAACCUCGAAAGCGAAGGCAGCCGGCUGGGUGCAGAUUGACGCUGAGGGACGAAAGCGUGGGGAGCGAACAGG